rnacentral:rRNA from 1 species
CACGUAGGGCGCAAGCGUUGUCCGGAUUUAUUGGGCGUAAAGAGCGUGUAGGCGGCCAGACAGGUCAGCUGUGAAAACUCGAGGCUCAACCUCGAGACGUCGGUUGAAACCGUCUGGCUAGAGUCCGGAAGAGGAGAGUGGAAUUCCCGGUGUAGCGGUGAAAUGCGCAGAUAUCGGGAAGAACACCCGUGGCGAAGGCGGCUCUCUGGGACGGUACUGACGCUGAGACGCGAAAGCGUGGGGAGCGAACAGG